GGGCGAACGUGAGCCAUAACCGAUAACCUAUUUAACUAGGAAGCUCGAUUUACUCGGUCUUUUCGCUGGCUGUGCUCAGAGGGAGUCGGGUUCAAAUCUCAGAAUAAUGGAGAACAACCUCAGCGGUCCAGUCGUCCUCACCGACAUGUUCUACUCACACCAUAUGCUAUUUGUUGGACACCUGUAUGAGCCAGAUGGAGAAUGAUGGCAGUGUGUUUGAGCUUCAGCAGAAUGUCCCAGCGAUGGUUGUGGGACUCAAACACCACAGUCUGCCAUGGCAGUUUAAUUAAUGGAGAAAAUGGGUCUGAGAAAGCAGCUUCAACAAGACAAGGUCUACCAUCUGCAUCAACUUUGUUCAGAAAUGUUCAGGUUUAAGAUUGGGGAGAUGAAACCAGAACUAGAGAGAAGAUAUUGCAGCAGCUAUAACAGAUUCUGUUGAGCAGUCUUGGGAAGAAUUGAGACUCUACAGGUAACAAACAAGACACUGAAAACACGUGAUUGAGAUUGGACCAGUGGAACAUUUUCUCUCCUUGAUGACAAACAAAUUUACUAUUUAGUGUUUCUCUACUUACAUGUAAUAUUUAGUCAUCUCUGAUCACUGGCACUGGUUUUUCAUUUGCCAGCAGCAUUGUCUUGCCCAUAAUACGUGGAAAGAGCAUGAAUCUGCAGACUGUCGUCCAGUGUAUCAAACUGACACUAUUUGGUUUUUUAAAUAAAAAGUUAUUCAACUCAAA